UGUUAGCUCAAUUGGUAGAGCAUCGGACUUUUAAUCCGCUGGUUCUGGGUUCGAGUCCCA
rnacentral:tRNA from 1 species